rnacentral:rRNA from 1 species
UACGUAGGGGGCAAGCGUUGUCCGGAAUUAUUGGGCGUAAAGAGCGUGUAGGCGGCCUUCUACGUCGAACGUGAAAUCCCCAGGCUUAACCUGGGAACUGCAUCCGAUACUGGAUGGCUUGAAUCCGGGAGAGGGAUGCAGAAUUCCAGGUGUAGCGGUGAAAUGCGUAGAUAUCUGGAGGAAUACCGGUGGCGAAGGCGGCAUCCUGGACCGGCAUUGACGCUGAGGAGCGAAAGCUAGGGGAGCAAACGGG